GCAUGCUGCUACAUGAUGGCAGAAGGUUUCCAUUUCUAUAAAAAUUUCUUUAUUGCAGGAUUUUGGUCCACUGAAGUCAACAGGUUUUGUAGACUCCAUGCCCCAGCCAUUCUGGAGGCCUGUACCUGUGCAUCUGCUGAAGAAGAAGACUACAAUAUGAUGUUGUGGAUGAAUGUUCUCCAAUCUAAGAGACUGAGCAGUCACCAUGAGAACGCAUUUACAAAAUUCCAGCUUGGGAUGGAAGUGACCAAAAACCUCACCAUGACUGUUGAGGUAGGUACAGUUGUCUUUUUGUAUCCAUUAUAAAAUAAUUUCCUGUUACAUACAGAUUAACCCUAUCCAGCUAUACUAAUUAUCACUCACUUAAAUCCUGCUUUGUACAGUCUGUGCUUUCCUGCAGGUGUGAAUUUCAUGCUAAAUGAAAACAGUGUGGCUGUCUUCAUGCCUGGGAGAACAACAGAAUUAUAUCAAAAGCAUUGUCAAACUCAGGGAAAAAGGCACAGGUAAGAUGCGAAUCGUAUUUUGACCACAAGUAUGACUGUGAAACAGCAACAUUUCCACCUUGUGAAUGCACACCUGGACAUACAUUCAUGCACAGCAGUUACCCUUGGAAGUACACACUUGUUCUGAAACCUCUGCUCCUUGGAAGUCAUACAUAGAAAGUCCAGAAAUAAUGCCAUCUCUCUCAACUGAUCAACCAACAUAAUGCUAACUGAGAAUAUUUCAAUUAUAUUUGUAGUAAAUAUUCAAUAUGCAACCAACACAUUAAAUUAGUUGAUAACAACAUAAUUACUAAAAUUCAAAUUAGAACAUAUCUGUUCAUAAUUUGUAUACAGAAGAAAGAAAUAAAAUGCAUUCCUGGGUAGAAAUCAGUAAUCUUCAAAUUGAGUAAUAUGUAGAAAAAUAUUUUACUUUUAAAAUCAAUGCUGGGUAUGAAAUUCUUGCUUGCUUUUAUUCUAUAUUCUUCCUCUAAAUGAAUAAAUAAAAAGUUUUAGGUAAUUACAAGUUACUUAGCUCCUCUUCUGUACAUUACAUAUUCUGCAAUUAUUAUGUGUGCAUGUUGGGGUGUGAGAGAGAGUGUGUGUGUGUGUGUGUGCAUAAUUGAAUAGCUAUCAUAUUAUUAUUCUAAUUUCUUUCUUUAGAAGCAUUAUUUGGCUAAUAAUGUGGUGUUGUUGCACUGUGAUACACAAGAAAAGACACUGAACAAACAGUGAAGAAGCAGGAUUUUAAAGUACUGAAGUCAUAAAUGAGACUAAUUUUCAGUGUACAGUGAAAUCAAAUGCAGCUUUCUGUAGAAUAAGAGUUUUAUUGAAAUAUGGUUGAUUCUUAUUAUUAUAUCACUGUUCUUAACAGUGUUCCAUUUGGGAGCCAUUUUUAUAGGCACUUUACAAAUGAAUAGAGAGAUGAGAUUAAAUUAUAAUAUCAAUUUUGUAUGGUGACUAACCUGCAUAAUUCAGAUGGAAGAUAAGUCAAAAAUCACAUUGAUGAUACUAGAAAAACCUUGAGGUGAAAAUAAAAGGGUCUAUUUACUGCCUUAGUCCAAAUCUUUUUUUAGCCUUGUUUAUUGUGAAACAUGAAUGCUCUGCUUGCUCAUUAGUAUUCACAUCAAUGCUUGU